rnacentral:rRNA from 1 species
UACAGAGGGUGCGAGCGUUGUUCGGAAUUACUGGGCGUAAAGCGCGUGUAGGUGGUGGGACAAGUCUGCUGUGAAAGCGCCUGGCUUAACCGGGCGAGGUCGGCGGAAACUGUCCGACUCGAGGACGGUAGAGGGGGGUGGAAUUCCCGGUGUAGUGGUGAAAUGUGUAGAGAUCGGGAGGAACACCGGUGGCGAAGGCGGGUCUCUGGGCAUCUCCUGACGCUGAGGCGCAAAAGCGUGGGGAGCAAACGGG